GUUUCCUCUGGUGUUUUUCAGGUUCAUCUGUGAUUAUUAUCACUAUGGUGGCUUUGGUUUUACUUCUGUUAGGACUUCCAUUGAUUAUAGUGACUGUAUGGAAGAAAAAGAAGAGUAAAGGUCUGCUGUCGUCCUCCAUCGGAGAGUUUAAUCAGGUGAUUCAUGAACAGAUCAAACACGCUGGACGUCACUGUAAUCCAGAGGACAGAGACACAGAAACAACUGUAGUUUACAGCUGUGUUUCCUGAACUUGUGUCAU